GACGAACGCUGGCGGCGUGCUUAACACAUGCAAGUCGAACGGAAAGGCCUGCUUUCCCUUGUGGAUUUCGGGUACUCGAGUGGCGAACGGGUGAGUAACACGUGAGUGAUCUGCCCCCAACUUGGGUAUAAGCCUGGGAAACUGGGUCUAAUUCCCGAUAGGACUGCAGGGUGGUGCCUGUGGUGGAAAACGAUCUUCUAGUGGUUGGGGAUGAGCUCGCGGCCUAUCAGCUUGUUGGUGGGGUAAUGGACUACCAAGGCGGAGACGGGUAGCCGGCCUGGGAGGGUGGACGGCCACAUUGGGACUGAGAUACGGCCCAGACUCCUACGGGAGGCAGCAGUGGGGAAGAUUGCACAAUGGGCGGAAGCCUGAUGCAGCGACGCCGCGUGGGGGAUGACGGCCUUCGGGUUGUAAACUCCUUUCGACCGCGAGGAAGCCACCUGGUUGGAAGGGUGGUGACGGUAGUGGUAGAAGAAGCACCGGCUAACUACGUG
rnacentral:rRNA from 1 species